AUCUGUCUCCCGCCUACCCACAGCAGUUGCUCCAUAGUCACCAGUGGUUGCACCUGCCACAGGAGGAGGAAGGGUCAAAACGGACAAACUUGUCUUGGGGUUUUAGGACAGACAGAUAUCCACUCGAGCUCAGACAACAGCAGCAAGAAGAUCGCAGCAAACACCUGAACCCCACAGUCUCCCCAGAAGCCCAGCAUUCGCGGUCCCCGGAGUCUGCCUAAGAGCGCUGCGCCCGGCCUCUCCCCUGUCAUCUCUUCCCUCGGCUGCAGCGACGCUGGCCACUGGACUACAUACACAGGAGACAGAGUCUCACUUUACCGCCUUCAGUAGAGUGCCAUGAUGUCACAGGACUCACAGCAACCUCUAGCUCUUGGGCUUCCGCGAUUCUCCUGCCUCAGCCUCCCGAGUAGCUGGGACUACAGGCGCCACAA